UUCUAAUCCCUUCUUAGCAUGCACCAUAUACAAAGUGGGACUUUUAAGGUAAGAGGAAAAGCAGGAAUAUUUUAAGAACUGCUGAGUCCCUUGGUAAGCUACUUUCCAAGGAGGUUACCCACCAGCUUUCUGUGAGAUUUUGAUCUUGUUCUCUUGAAUUGAAGAGAGUCCUGUGGUCUUCAGUAGACUAGACAAUAUUGAAUGCCAAGUUUUUACUAGUUUGUCAAGUAUCUCAUUGCUGUUCACUAUCUGCAAUGUUCCUUGGGUUACUGUGAAAGGCCUGGACACCUUUUGUAUUACAAAUUCAACAGAUUUGUGGUAUUUUGUGUACCUACAAGAAUAUGGAGAAGUAAUUGAGUUUGCACAAUAACAUUUGCCUAUGACUAGAGGAAAUUAAGCAGAAUGGAGUCUUGUCUUGUGUAUUCCAGUAGGUACAACUGAAUCCUUGAAAACUUCUAUGUCAGUGAAAUUAAUUUUGUGGGAUCUGUAACUAUAGCUGCUAAGAGUUCCAACUGUACAACUGUAGUAAGGAGAAAAGUAAUCAUUUUAUGAUGUCGUUUCUUAAAUAUAAGAGUGAGAUAUUUUAAUGCAGUCCAGAAAGAUGCACCAACCUACAGCAGCCAGUGAGACAUCAGCUCCACCUACAGCAAAGGCUGUUCCAUAGCUCUCACAGAAACACAACAAACAGGUCCAAAACAUUGGCACUUGCAGUAGUUCCUCUUGCUCAGGAAGAUUACCUUACCGCAAGGAGAUACAAAGAAGCAGUGGAUUAAAGAGGCCUGCAGGGAAUUACUGAGUCCUAUGCAACUUCAUACAGAGGAAUUUUUAACAAUAGAGGCAAAUAACUAUUAGAAAGUACUUUAUUAUGGAAAAUAUGAAAACCGAAUUGACGUAUCUUCUUCCUGAAGCAAUCAGGAUUUUUCAUAUUUCUAUUAUGAACUGAAAACAAGACGUGCAGCCUGCCCAGAAGCAUCCUGAGCCUCAAAUCCCUUAAUCUCUCAAGUGCGAUCUGUGGUGCCAGCUAUGCUGGGGAGGGUAGGAAAUUUCCCAUAAAAGAUUCCCAAUGUCAAUUAAAAAUUCUGCAUUUGCUUCUUAGUUUAUCUGAAACUGAAGAAGGUGGCUCUUUCUUGCAGUCAAAACAUGUCAUAUGCAUAUUCUCACACAGAAAGCAGUGGAGGUUCUGAAGCCUAUCUUAGAGUGUGUUUGAUUUCCUGGCUGCCUUAUUUGUUUACAACAAUGCUCUUAAAAUUGUCUCUACCAUCUGUGUGGUUUCUAGUUGUUUGAAUGAGAAUGAGAUAUUAAAAUGCCAUCCAGAUGUCUCGUUGCAUAUCAGCAUUAACAUAUUAUGCAAAUUGUCACAAGGAUAGGUUUUUUUUCUUCUUAAACAAAACAAUAUUUUUAGAUGGAAUGGAGAGAAAUAAAUCUGUGAAGGAUGACAAGGGAAAAAAUGCGCUGAGCAUAUUCAGCUGAACUUUUCAAUCAUUUUUUAUGAAAGGGUUAGGUACAAAGUGUCCUUAGUUUUUUUACCAUAAAUCUGUAGAAGAACAAUUGGGUGAAAACACGAUAAUAAACCAACAAAGUACCUCUAAACCCAAAUAUCUCAGAAAAUGAAUUCAACAAAGUGAAAUACAAAACUUGCCUCUGUGUAUUUAUCUCACAAGAACAGGACUUUGCGAAGAAUGAUAGCAGUUGUCUGCUGGCUACUAAGCAUCCAAUUUAAAGAAACCUUUGUCUCUUAUUCUGCAGAUAUUUACAUUUGGAGACAGAAUCAACAGUGCAAGGCCAGACCUGUGCCCUCAUUGCUCUCAAAAAUAAGAAGAGAUGUCUGGAAAUUAAAGCAAGUGUCUGAGAUUAUACUGUUUUCUUGCAUCUUGACUCUUACAGCUAAGGACAAACGUGAUGCUGUUGCCUGUGUUUUCCUUAGAACCACAGAACGGCUUGAGUUGGAAGGGACCUCAGUCAUCAUCCAGUUCCACUCCUACACCAUGGGCAGGGUUGCCAACUUACUCAGGCAUCUUUAUGGGCACAGAGCAGCAUAUGCCUCUGCCCUUCACAAUGACUUUCUUCAAGCACUUGAUGAAGACAUAUACCAUUCUGAACCACAUUUGAGGGUGUUUCCAACUAAGCUUGCUGAGGGAUGAAGCUAUAAGGACUCAUUGCCAAGAAAUGCUAGUGGAUACACACCUUCACCCCUCUCGCAGAGAACUAUUGAUGGGCUCACGUGGCUGAGAUAUUUAUGAAGAAACUUCUUGUACAAGACCUUGUCCCUGACGAGCUUUUAAUGAUGAGGAAGCGACUCAACAAUCGAUGCUCAAGAGGUUGAAAUAAGAAAGCCACUCCAGCCACAUAGGAACCAUUGCAGAACUCCAGGGAUGCUUCAUUGCAGCAUGACAAAAGUUAGGAGCGAUGCUGUGGAGCGAUGGGGCUCUGUGGAGGAACAAAGCAAGAAUUCUUGUGCUCACUGCUGUAUUCUCCUUCAACACACACUGAAAAAUAAUGGUGGAAAUAAAAAGAAUAAACCAUUUUGCCGCUGACAUUAUUUACCUCGCUUUAACAUAACACUUAAGACAGUGCUGCAAGUAAAACCUGGCCAGUCUGCAUUGCACCCUGAGCACCUGCAAAAGCUGGAGAUGGCAAAAAGCACCGUGGAGAUAACCCACUGCGGAGGAACACACUGCACUUCGGACAGCAAGGAAGUGUCAAUGCUGCCAGCACCUCUGCGUGGGGACUCCUGAAAGUCACACUGCAUUACUGCUUCAGUGUGGAAACUCAAUUGCUUAUCCUUUAUGGGAGAUAAUCUUUGAAUGUAGCAGUGUACCGCAUUAACCCCAUUUGUCCACAAGACAGUCAACGUGUCUAUAAAUCCUGUCUAUAUGGGGGGCUACAGUUGGGUGACAUCCUCUUUCUGCACUAUGGAGUCCUUGUAAAACAGGCUUAAUAUAGCAAUAAACCUGUUUAUUUUUGUUACGGUUCUUCCAUCACUCUCUUACUGCUUCUGUUUUCUUUUUGAAAGCACUCGAUUGUACCAUUCUCUGUCUGUUUUCAGCACCAUAAAAUGAAAUUCACCUCAUUGAUCAAACGAUGACCUCUAUCCAGUGCCUCUUAGAUUAGAGAUAACAGCAGGCUGCUGUCUAACUGAGAAAUAAUUCCUUCAGCUCCUUCAGCUCUCUUUAUUAUGAUUGCUUCCUAAAAUAUCACUUAAAACUGGGAUGGAAACAAAUGAGAAUGUCUUCUCUCAAUGUUUGCGUUUUGACUCACCAAUACACACAAACACACACUGCGGUGUGCAUUGUUCUAGAAUAAUUCAUUCAUUUUCCCCCUAGAAGAUGAAGAAAACAUUUAACUGCACAUAACUGAAGGAAGAAAGGAGCAAAAGCGGAUUGACAUAAUGCCUACCUUUUGCCGGAAAGACUUUGUGCUUUAAAACAGGAAAAAAUGGUAGCGGUACAUUCGUGUGAAACUCAAAUUGUGCUACUCAGGAACAGGUUUUUAAAUAUCAGCAUUAAAGAUCGCAUUAGAAUACAUUAUCACAUUCUGUGCCGUAGCAUGUGUUACGUAUUUGUAACAAGGGAAGCAUGAAAGACUAAUCAUACACGGGGAAUAAUGGCAUGUUUUCAUGGCGAGAUUUGCAAGGCAUUAUCCCAGACAUUCCCUUCUGGUGGGGCAGGAAAAGGGAGAUUCUGUUCUGCAUUAUGCUGCUCAGCAUCUGCUGCUGGAUGGGACGCUGUGAAGGUGUUAGGUCUGUGGUGACAUUUAUCCCCAAAUAGGCAUAAAUGUGUGCAUUAUUUCAGCUAUUUCAGGUCUAUUGAUGAGCUGCAGGAGAUCACAGAAUCAUGGAAUCGUUAAGGUUGGCAAAGACCAUUGAGAUCCUCAAGUCUAACCCCAACCCAUCCCCACCAUGCCCACUGACCAUGUCCCUCAGUGCCACAUCAGUACUGGAGCACCUCCAGGGACAGAGACUGCUCCCCAUGCCCUAGGCCCUACCACCCUGGCUAAGCAGUGGGAUUUCAAGGGGACUUGUCUGCCUUCAUGAAGCCUCUCAGCUUCAGCCUGACUGCCCUUCAGUUCUCCAUACUGAAUAAUGCAUUUUUUUCAGGAAUGAAACAAACCUUUUCCCCCAACAAAACAUUGAGUGCCUCAGACACUGGAAUGGGUUUUUGACAGCUGAUCUUAUUUCAUCAAGUAAUAUGUCAUCAAAGCAACACAAUUCUAAUAGUGUCUUACACCAGUACAGAUGACAUGUUACACAAAUGUACUGACCCAGCAAUGCUGGCUCGAUGACCCCUUUGCACUAACAUAAGUUACCCAGCAGAUGCCUUUUCCAGCAUAUUGGGAUUUUCCUGCUUUGUUAAAGACAGAUAAUAGGGAGAAAAUUAUUUUCUUUGUGGCUGUAGUGUGUACCACUGCCUCUUCCAGGUGAUGCAAAUAAGCUGUGACUGAAGUAGUCUGAGAGGGAGUGUUAUGAAGUUAAGAAACUUAACGCUGCCUUUCUUGCUUUAACCAAGGGGACAGACCACUCUUCAGAAUUCUGUCCCAGUAGACAAAAGACAGACUUAAGAGUCUGCACUGAGAUAUCUGCCAUGGACUCUAUGUUCUCCAGUGGCCAAUUGUGAAGUCUAAACAGAAAUUGCCACACCCAGGCUUGAAAACUCAAGAGUGUGCUCCCAAGAGAAAAGUGCAGCAAUUUCUCAAGGCCUAUCUAUCACAGAGCUAUGGAAUAAAGACAGCCUGAACAGCCCCUAGCUGGGAAAAUUAUCAUCUGGGAAUCAUCUCCGUGUUCUUGAGAAGAAAGUCCUUGGGGCACAGAAUCUCCUCUGACUACGCUUGGUCCUUGACACUGUACUGAAAUAACACAAGCAUUACUAAUUCUGAAAACUUGUUCUGCACGAAACUAUCUGCAUGCUCCAAAUUUCCCUGUAUCAUGCACUGUCCCCUUUAAAAACCAACCAACCAACCAAAUAAAACAAAAAACAACAAAGGACAAGUCAUAAUAGCCCCAUUGUUCCCCCAUAGGUGCAAGGAACUAAAGUUUCAGAUGGUCACAGUUUUGGGGUAAUACCAGAUAUCCCUCACUGCACGGCACACAUUGCAAUGAGAACCUGCCAGUGCUUCAGACAACUCGAUCCAUUCUGGGAUUUUCAAAACUAGUAAAAGCACACAGAGAGGUUGACAGAUACAUUUGCUGUGUAAUAUUGGCUCUGCAAUGCUAAUAUUGGCUGUUGCCUGACAUUCUAUAUAGCAACAUUUAUAUAACCAAAGUCCCUAUCAUUUCUAAGUUAUCUGAUGCACCAUGAAAUUUCAAGGCAGUGAUUCCAUUUUCUUUGCUGAUCAACUUAAAGCUCAUGAUGAAUCAAGUAAUAUCAAAGAAGAUAAAUUAUGCAGCUGUUUAUUUACAGUUUAC
rnacentral:lncRNA from 1 species